UACGGAGGGAGCUAGCGUUAUCCGGAUUUACUGGGUUUAAAGGGUGCGUAGGCGGACCAUCAAGUCAGUGGUGAAAGCUUCUCGCUUAACGGGAAAAUUGCCAUUGAUACUGUUGGUCUUGAGUUCAGUUGAGGUAGGCGGAAUGUAGCAUGUAGCGGUGAAAUGCAUAGAUAUGCUACAGAACACCGAUUGCGAAGGCAGCUUACUAAACUGUUACUGACGCUGAGGCACGAAAGCGUGGGGAGCGAACAGG
rnacentral:misc_RNA from 1 species